ACACACACACACACGCUCACACACACACACACACACACACACACACACACACACACACACACACACACACACACAUUUAUAUAUUACAUACCUACCAUAAUGUAAUAACUUCUUUUUUCCCUUGUUGAGGAAUGUGGUUUGAUGAGCUGAGUGGCAGGCUGGUGCGGGGAAGCUUGGUGGCGUGUGGAAACUCAUCGUCUGUUCCAACUAAGCGAUAGGGAAGUUUAACUCUCCUGAAAGACACAUCACAAGUAAAUGAUAUACAAUGUAAUUUUCACAAGGAAAUCCAUGAUUGAUUAACUGAGAUUAUGCCUGUCUCCUGUUGAGCAGUGGCCAUAUUUAGCGUGGAAUAUAAGAGUGAGGGGGUGGGGAGAGAAAGGGAGGAGGGGGGGAGAGGCCGCUCAGUGGGCAGUAGCCAUUGUCUGUGUCAACAUGCCGUUCCGCCCCGCUGGACUGAUAUUGGUGCCCCGCCCGCCCCCGGAUGCCUCAACCCUCCUCACCCCCUCACACUGGGGGUGAGUGUCUGCAGGAGCUGCUUGCAUGGCCGAGCUGGCUCGGGUGCAGGUGCAAGGAGGACGUCCCAUUCAUCACUCGUAGCUGACAAGGCAAACAUCCAGCAGCCAGUUUGUCAGCGAGUUUGUCAGCCACUUUGUCAACGAGUCCGCCAGUCAGCGUCAUCAGGCCUUCAUCUAACCAGCCGUUAUAGUUGAAAAAUAGACUAAUUGUUAUGCGACUGCGUGUAUGUGUGUGUGUAUGUGUGUGUGUGUCACUUAUUCACCACAAGCACGUGAGGUAUGGUUCAUGAAAGAAAAAUAAUGAGUUUUUUUUUUUUUAUUAUUGCUUGAACAAAUGAAAGUAUACUGAAAUACAGACCUCUUGGCGACCGA